UACGUAGGGGGGCAAGCGUUUGUCCGGAUUUAUUGGGCGUAAAGAGCGUGUAGGCGGCCAGACAGGUCCGUUGUGAAAACUCGAGGCUCAACCUCGAGACGUCGAUGGAAACCGUCUGGCUAGAGUCCGGAAGAGGAGAGUGGAAUUCCUGGUGUAGCGGUGAAAUGCGCAGAUAUCAGGAAGAACACCCGUGGCGAAGGCGGCUCUCUGGGACGGUACUGACGCUGAGACGCGAAAGCGUGGGGGAGCGAACAGG
rnacentral:rRNA from 1 species